CUUCACCCAGUGUACAGUAACGUGUUUUACAAUGCGAGGAUGCAGGGAAGAAUCCCUAAAAGCAGUGAAAUACUUUAUUGUAAAGCAACAGACAAACUAGAUCGUUUCUUCGCAUAUGUGACAGUAGCCAUUAAGUUUCAGGGGCCCAAAAUACAUAUCAGUGUGUGGUGUUAGUCCAUGGAGAAUCAUUUCCUAUUCCAGCUGUGUUUACUUGAUGGUCAUUGACCAUAAGUGUUAAUCACUCUUAUGGCAACUUUGUAAAUAUUAUAAUUAGAGGAAGUAAUUUAGUAAUUAUCUUCCCUUAUACAGCUGAUGUAUCAAUGAUUUGAAUAAGCAUAUGGCAUAAACACACUGCCUAUAAACUCCCCAGACAGCAGUCUGAGCCUGAGCACCCUAAAGAAAAGAAUAAAGGCCUUCUGUGGAAAAGACCAAAGCCAGAAGCACAACCACAUACCAUGAGAAGAGAGCCAGAAAGAUCAACAGUCAUGGUGAAAAAGCGUUGUAACUUUGAGAUAUCCAUCUCCUUGUGAAGCCUCUUUGCAUAGUGCAAUAAACGUUUUAAGUCAAGCAGGACUGGUCUUGGUAACUCGUGGUCCAGCCCUAACUUGUUAGCUGCAGUAAAGCAGCUUUAUCAGUCACUGCUGCUGAGUCCUAAACUGUCAGGAGAGGGCGCAGCCUUCCUAGAAGUGUCAAAUGGCAAAAGGAAUCGUGGUGUGUUAGGAUGACUCAGACAGGCGCUGCCAAAAACCGUGGUCUGGAGGCUCGGACGCUCUUCCUGGAUUGGGAAUUGAGGAUGGCAGGGAGAACUUGUUAUGGUCUACAUCCAUGUCCUUCAUAAAACUUAGACGUUCAUAAUUCUCAAGAAAAUUGAUUAUAGGGAAACAAUUUAGCUUUUUAUUUCUCAUUUUAGAGUUUACAAUGUGGUUCCUGAAUGUAACUUUUAGUGCUGCUAUAAGCUGUACCAUAUAUUGUGUAGUGUAAUGCAGAAUAUCUUCUGAAAGGUGCUGGGCUGCUAGCAGUGGACAGUGCACUUUUUUCCUUUUUUUUCUUCUUUUAAUUUCAAAAAUAUGUACAGUACAACAUGGCUCCUGGCAGUGGAAGCUUUUUGUGGCUUCCCAGCUCAGUGUAUGGGGAAGAAACUUGUUCUAAUCAAAGAGUAGAUAAAUCUUCAAACUUCGGGCAGUUUGCUUCCCUCUCUGCUGUGUCUGGCAAUGCUGCUGAUCAGAAACUAGAUAGUUGCUUUCCUGAAAAAAUAGCAUGCUUUAUUUUUAUUUAUUUUAAAUUCAGACAUUUCAAGAUUUGAAAUUAUCCAUAGAAUGAAUUUAAAAUGGUCUUUAGACCUACCAGAUCA